GUAGAUGGCAAGCGUUGUCCGGAAUUAUUGGGCGUAAAGCGCGCGCAGGCGGUUCUUUAAGUCUGAUGUGAAAGCCCACGGCUCAACCGUGGAGGGUCAUUGGAAACUGGAGAACUUGAGUACAGAAGAGGAAAGCGGAAUUCCACGUGUAGCGGUGAAAUGCGUAGAGAUGUGGAGGAACACCAGUGGCGAAGGCGGCUUUCUGGUCUGUAACUGACGCUGAGGCGCGAAAGCGUGGGGAGCAAACAGGAUUAGAUACCCUGGUAGUCCACGCCGUAAACGAUGAGUGCUAAGUGUUAGGGGGGUUUCCGCCCCCCUUAGUGCUGCGGCUAACGCAUUAAGCACUCCGCCUGGGGAUACGGCCGCAAGGCUG
rnacentral:rRNA from 1 species